GGGGGCCGGAUUCUGCAGUAAUUUAUGCGGGUGAAAAUUUUCUGAAAUGAUUCUGAACUCUUGACACAUGCUUUGUGCUCUGACCCAAAAUUUAAUCAUCUUCACUGCUUCAAAUCGUGUGUCUUUUAUUUCUCCGAAUGAGUUGAACUUAUUAAAAACUACUAACCCCAAAGAGGAAGAACAUGUAAUGAAGAAGUUGAUCUCAUUAAUAACAAUGCCAAUUGUACAAUGAUUGUAUUACUGCUUUAUUAACAGAUUCCAAACCAUCAUGCUUCAGGAUGCACUUUUGGCCUGGGGCUUUCUUUCCCUGUCAGGCAGAUGAAAAGCACCAGUGAUAACACCAUCCAGAGUCACGCAGCGAACAAACCUUUUAAAGAGCCCUUAUUUCUAUGUCAUUAUCUCAAAUUGCCUUGUUUAUCCCCUGAAUUCUGAUCAGAUUCUUUUUUGGGCGUUUCUGCUGAAUGAAAUCUGGACGAAAAUGACCAGAAAGAGCUUUCUAUUUAUCCAGAUCUUUUACACAAAUUAAAUACUCACUUUUUACUUUCAAAACAUAUGUGUUUAACAUUGGGCAUCUAUGUCUAAUGAGUCUUAGGCUGGGUAACAAAUUUCUUUAAUAUUUGAUUGUAACUUGUCAAUAAACAAAACAAAACAAAAAUCAAACCAAUCCAAACCUUAAAUUUUCACAAAUAGUGUACACUGCACUAACCUAUCAGAUUAUAGCUUCAAUAUAUCUCCAGCCAAUAGAAUUCACGCAUGAAAGCUGAGCCUAUUUAGAGUCAGGUUUGACUUCUGAGUAUGAUAUCGAUGUAUUCAUAAAGUUUUAAUAACAAUGACAAAU